GUCGUCCGGAGGGGUGGGGUCGCCCGGAGGGGUGGGGCUAUAGCAGGGCAGGGCGGGGGGACCCAGAGUGGAGCGGCUCGCCCUGCCUGCGGAUGACGUCCACCAGGAUGUCAAUCACGAUGAUGGUGCCCGUGCAUCCGAUGCCCCCACUGAGGACAAACUAGGCGGCCUUUGACGAGAGUGGGGGGCGGGGGCGGGGGCGCCCCCGCCCACCCGAUGGCUCCGCCCUCGUCGUCCCGCGUGGCCCCGCCCCGCCGCACCUGCACCUGCACAGCCCGCGUGGCCCCGCCCCGCCGCACCUGCAUCUGCACAGCCCGCGUGGGCCCGCCCCGCCGCAGCUGAAGUGCACCACCAUGGGCCCGGCCCGCGGCUUGCUGCUCUGGGCCCGGUUCACCUCGUCCCGGAAGCCGAGGACGCCGGCGGGAUCGGCCCGGACGCCGUAGUCCGGCCAGCCGAAGUACUGGAAGUGCUGCACCGUACGCUGUGGCUCCUCCUGAGCGGGGCAAGCGGCCGACAGCAGGCACGCUCCACAGCCGCCAGGCUCACCUGGCCCGGCCGCCACACCUGCAGCUCCCGCACGCAGUAGCCCUGGGCCUGGCCCUUGCCGAGGACGCGCAUGUGCACACGGCCGAACUCUUGGCUGCCGGGCAGCUCUGGCCAGUCCCGGAAACACUUGUUCCGAGGGGAGCGCUUUGCAUCAGCCUUGCUGGCAGCACCUCGGCACCCCGCCCCUGCGACCUGCAGAGACGCAGCUACCUAAGAGGGAAGGGCCCGCUGUCCUGUGAUCACGUGACUUGCUUCACCUUGUCAAUCACUUAGAAGACUGACCCUCCUUAUCCUGCCCCCUUGUCUUGUAUGCAAUAAAUAUCAGCGAGCCCAGCCGUUCAGGGCCACUACCGGUCUCCGUGUCUUUGUGGUAGUGGUCCCCGGGGCCCAGCUGUUUUCUCUUUAUCUCUUUGUCUUGUGUCUUUAUUUAUUACAAUCUCUCAUCUCCACACACGGGGAGAACACCUGCUAAGCUCCGUAGGGCUGGACCCUACAGUCCCAGACCCUGCGCUCCCAUCGGGCACUUGCCCCAGCCCCAGGGGACAGAGUCUGAAGGUGACAGCGGUCAGGAUGCACCUUGAACUCCACCCAGAAGCCCUGCCUGGCCUUCCCG
rnacentral:lncRNA from 10 species